rnacentral:snoRNA from 1 species
UCACAACCAUGAGAAGAGUCACAUGCUCUACCAACUGA